rnacentral:rRNA from 1 species
GACGAACGCUGGCGGCGUGCUUAACACAUGCAAGUCGAACGGUGAAGCUCCAGCUUGCUGGAGUGGAUCAGUGGCGAACGGGUGAGUAACACGUGAGCAACCUGCCCCUGACUCUGGAAUAAGCGCUGGAAACGGCGUCUAAUACUGGAUACGAGAAGGGCCCGCAUGGGCACUUUCUGGAAAGUUUUUCGGUUGGGGAUGGGCUCGCGGCCUAUCAGCUUGCUGGUGAGGUAAUGGCUCACCAAGGCGACGACGGGUAGCCGGCCUGAGAGGGCGACCGGCCACACUGGGACUGAGACACGGCCCAGACUCCUACGGGAGGCAGCAGUGGGGAAUAUUGCACAAUGGGCGAAAGCCUGAUGCAGCGACGCCGCGUGAGGGAUGACGGCCUUCGGGUUGUAAACCUCUUUCAGCAGGGAAGAAGCGAAAGUGACGGUACCUGCAGAAGAAGCACCGGCUAACUACGUG